AGUAACACGUGGAUAAUCUGCCUUUUAGUGGGGAAUACCGUUGGGAAACCGACGACAAUACCGCAUAAGCUCGAGAGAGGAAAGCUGAUCUGUAAAAGGAGCAGCGCUGAAAGAGGAGUCCGCGGCCGAUUAGCUUGUUGGUAGGGUAAUGGCCUACCAAGGCUGUGAUCGGUAGCCGGCCUGAGAGGGCACACGGCCACACUGGCACUGAAACACGGGCCAG
rnacentral:rRNA from 1 species